CCUACGGGAGGCAGCAGUGGGGAAUUUUGCGCAAUGGGCGAAAGCCUGACGCAGCAACGCCGCGUGAGUGAUGAAGGCUUUCGGGUCGUAAAGUUCUGUCGAGGGGAAAGAAGUGUAUUGUGGUUAAUACCCAUGAUACUUGACGGUACCCCUAAAGGAAGCACCGGCUAACUCCGUGCCAGCAGCCGCGGUAAU
rnacentral:rRNA from 1 species